CGAAUGCUGACAUAAGUAACGAUAAAGCGGGUGAAAAGCCCGCUCGCCGGAAGACCAAGGGUUCCUGUCCAACGUUAAUCGGGGCAGGGUGAGUCGACCCCUAAGGCGAGGCCGAAAGGCGUAGUCGAUGGGAAACAGGUUAAUAUUCCUGUACUUGGUGUUACUGCGAAGGGGGGACGGAGAAGGCUAUGUUGGCCGGGCGACGGUUGUCCCGGUUUAAGCGUGUAGGCUGGUUUUCCAGGCAAAUCCGGAAAAUCAAGGCUGAGGCGUGAUGACGAGGCACUACGGUGCUGAAGCAACAAAUGCCCUGCUUCCAGGAAAAGCCUCUAAGCAUCAGGUAACAUCAAAUCGUACCCCAAACCGACACAGGUGGUCAGGUAGAGAAUACCAAGGCGCUUGAGAGAACUCGGGUGAAGGAACUAGGCAAAAUGGUGCCGUAACUUCGGGAGAAGGCACGCUGAUAUGUAGGUGAAGUCCCUCGCGGAUGGAGCUGAAAUCAGUCGAAGAUACCAGCUGGCUGCAACUGUUUAUUAAAAACACAGCACUGUGCAAACACGAAAGUGGACGUAUACGGUGUGACGCCUGCCCGGUGCCGGAAGGUUAAUUGAUGGGGUCAGCGCAAGCGAAGCUCUUGAUCGAAGCCCCGGUAAACGGCGGCCGUAACUAUAACGGUCCUAAGGUAGCGAAAUUCCUUGUCGGGUAAGUUCCGACCUGCACGAAUGGCGUAAUGAUGGCCAGGCUGUCUCCACCCGAGACUCAGUGAAAUUGAACUCGCUGUGAAGAUGCAGUGUACCCGCGGCAAGACGGAAAGACCCCGUGAACCUUUACUAUAGCUUGACACUGAACAUUGAGCCUUGAUGUGUAGGAUAGGUGGGAGGCUUUGAAGUGUGGACGCCAGUCUGCAUGGAGCCGACCUUGAAAUACCACCCUUUAAUGUUUGAUGUUCUAACGUGGACCCGUAAUCCGGGUUGCGGACAGUGUCUGGUGGGUAGUUUGACUGGGGCGGUCUCCUCCUAAAGAGUAACGGAGGAGCACGAAGGUUGGCUAAUCCUGGUCGGACAUCAGGAGGUUAGUGCAAUGGCAUAAGCCAGCUUGACUGCGAGCGUGACGGCGCGAGCAGGUGCGAAAGCAGGUCAUAGUGAUCCGGUGGUUCUGAAUGGAAGGGCCAUCGCUCAACGGAUAAAAGGUACUCCGGGGAUAACAGGCUGAUACCGCCCAAGAGUUCAUAUCGACGGCGGUGUUUGGCACCUCGAUGUCGGCUCAUCACAUCCUGGGGCUGAAGUAGGUCCCAAGGGUAUGGCUGUUCGCCAUUUAAAGUGGUACGCGAGCUGGGUUUAGAACGUCGUGAGACAGUUCGGUCCCUAUCUGCCGUGGGCGCUGGAGAAUUGAGGGGGGCUGCUCCUAGUACGAGAGGACCGGAGUGGACGCAUCACUGGUGUUCGGGUUGUCAUGCCAAUGGCACUGCCCGGUAGCUAAAUGCGGAAGAGAUAAGUGCUGAAAGCAUCUAAGCACGAAACUUGCCCCGAGAUGAGUUCUCCCUGACCCUUUAAGGGUCCUGAAGGAACGUUGAAGACGACGACGUUGAUAGGCCGGGUGUGUAAGCGCAGCGAUGCGUUGAGCUAACCGGUACUAAUGAACCGUGAGGCUUAACCUU
rnacentral:rRNA from 1 species